UACGUAGGUGGCAAGCGUUGUCCGGAUUUACUGGGCGUAAAGAGCGCGCAGGCGGUCGUUCAAGUCGAGUGUGAAAGCCCCCGGCUUAACUGGGGAGGGUCACUCGAUACUGAUCGACUCGAAGGCAGAAGAGGGAAGCGGAAUUCCCGGUGUAGUGGUGAAAUGCGCAGAUAUCAGGAGGAACACCGGUGGCGAAGGCGGGUCUCUGGGCCGAUACUGACGCUGAGGAGCGAAAGCAUGGGUAGCGAACAGG
rnacentral:rRNA from 1 species